CAUUUUAUUUCUCAUUUAACAGGAAAUUUAAUCGUUAAAUAUAGGGAAUCAAAUUAAUAUUUCAGAAAGCUAAUGGAAAAUCUAUCAUACUUUGGUUUUAAUGCCAAAGAGAAAAUUGUCAAUUUUUCAGAAACAAUUACCGUAGCUCUGGGGACUAUUUAUCUGAUUUUAAAGUAAAUGAAAUCUAAUUUUUUACAAGUUCUUAGAAAUUUUUGUUAGAAUAGUCCAUUGGGGCGUGAGGUAUACAUGGUUAUCAUGACCCUACUCUGCCUUGCACUCUCGCCCCUACUGCAGACUCUGGAAGGAAUCACAUUAAACAUUGCUGGUAACUUAUUUGCUUAUUGCUGGUAGAAAGAGUGACUGGUGAAGAUUUUGGAUUUUUUCCCAAAUUUUAAAGAAGAAUCCAUGUAUUAAUGAAACAACUUAAUCUUGUUUACUUAAAUCUUAUGUUAGUAAUAUUGGGCCCAAAGGUGGAGAAUUGAUUGUAAAAGCACUACAUAACAAUACAACUCUGAAAUACCUGAGAAUGACUGGAAACAAGUUUGAAAAUGAAGGUGGAAUGUGUUUUGCAGGAAUGCUACAAAUUAAUUCAUCCUUAGAGAAAUGAGAUCGGAAUGACUGUGGUCUAGAAAUGCAAAAUGUGAUAGCAUUUGCUACAGUCCUAACUGAAAACCAAACAACUAAGGGAAUAUACCCAAACCUACCUAUGCUGUAUGGUGAAUAGGAGGCGUCCACAGUUCAUCUAGGCCACAUGCUGAAAGAAAAUCACUGUCUUGUUGCAUUGCUCAUGUGUAAGCAUGAUAUUAUAAAACAGUUAGGUGAUGCACCGUAUCUGAACAGUAGCCUAUGCUAACUUGAUGUCAGCUGGUUGUCAGUAGUCAGCAACAACAUAGGGGGAGAUGGGCUUGUACUUUCGUAAUCAAUGAAAACAAAUCCCACUCUCUCUAAUAUCUACAUUUGGGAAAACAAAUUCGAUGACUACAUGUAUGAUAUAAUCAGACUUAAUUCAAAUUCAAAUCAGACAAAUUCAGAUUCAAAUUCAAAUGGACCAUCUAAAAUUAGGUAAUACAGAUACGGAGCUAUUUGUGGUGGGUGGACAUGUGUAUUUUGCAGAAGUCUCCAGUGGCCUUAAAAAGCAUUAUUAUCAGACAUCAACUUACAGAAAACCUUGCAGCACUCAUCUAAUGCAGGUUUUACUCUUUUUUUUUUUUUUAAGAUUUUAUUUAUUUAUUUGACAGAGAGAGACACUGCAAGAGAGGGAACACAAGCAGGGGGAGUGGGAGAGGGAGGAGCAGGCUUCCCGCCAAGCAGGGAGCCCAAUGCGACGCUUGAUCCCAGGACCCUGAGAUCAUGACCUGAGCCGAAUGCAGAUGCUCAACGACUGAGCCACUCAGGCGCCCUUCUUUUUUUUUUUUUUUUUUAAAGAUUUAUUUAUUUAUUUGAGAGAGAGAGGGAGAACAUGCACAUGGGGGGAGGGGCAGAGGGAGAGAAUCUUCAAGCAGACUCCCCACUAAGCAA